AUAAUCUAUAUGUCAAGCCAUAUCCAGAGUGUGGAAAAAUGUUUGGAAGGUUUUCAGGAGAUGUUCAGGUUAAAAGACAACAUCCUAUUGGACUAUGGAAAAUGUUUAAACCACAAAAGCAUCCAGAGUCGAAAGAAGAUGUGAAUAACAUGAAGUCCUUCAUGGAAGGCCUUGUUUAGUCGAGAUGAGUGAUCCUCAUGAUUCAUUAUCUUUGUAUUUCAAAUGAUCUUUUUCAUGGGAUUGUGCUGUUCUUAUCUUUGAGAUAAACUGCAACUAUUGUUAACAACUUUAAGAAGGGCCUUGUUGAUGUAACGUGUCAAAAUAUACUGGAUUGGCCUUGGUAGUUGACUUUAAAAAGUCUGGAGAAUGCAAGAGAAAUUGCAGUUUAUAGUUUGGAGAAGUUGUUUCCAUAAAAUCUUGGUGGUUAUCUAAGUGCCAUUAAAAUUCUCCAUGGAGAAGAAGCCAGCUGGUCGCAAUAUCUUCACAUCAAGGGGUUACAUGAAGUUGUAUACUACAAGGUAAACUAGUAGACUUUUUACUCUUUGGUUCUGUUCCUUUGUCAAUUUUAUCACCAAUGAUAAAAAUUCAAAAACAAAAAAAACCAUAAAAUCACGUAACAUUUUUGUCGUUAUUGCCAUCUUUUGACGAUUUAAUGCCUGUUUCUAAUAGUUUUUUAUUUGUUCAAAUCCUGGCAUGUACAACUGGCACUGAAGUUGAUGUUCCACAACUCAUGGAUGCUUUAUAGCAAUUCUAAAGUUGUUUUUGGCCAUUAUGGAGAGGCUUUUCAUGGGCGUCAUCUGCAUAUUCUGAAAUCAAUUUAUGGUGCAGAAGCAAGAAUCAAUGGACAACAAACCAAAGCCAGAUUGCACUUGCAUCUCUUAUGGAGGCCAAAUUUCAGUUAAACAGGCAUCCCAGUGAGCAUAUUUGAGUUGGCAUUUGUUCAGUGUAUACUCUUAAGUCCAUGCUGCAUAAAAACAUUAAAACCAACCCUACAAAUCAUCACAAAAAAUCCCUCUCCAUUCAAACACUAGGAUCUGUGGAAAAGCAAUCAAAGCAACUAAAAUAAGUUAUUUAUACUCCAACCUAAGGUAGUGAGGGAAAAUCUGCCGUUCAGGUUGGGGGAGAGGCCUUCCCCUGUUCAGAAGGUGCGAGAAAGGCCUUAGAAGGUAAGAGUCAACAAGCUCAACAAGCUCCUAAGAAAGAGAACUAGAAAAAAUCGAGAAAUUUCUCCGAAAAGCUAGAAUGAGAGAGAUUUCUCCAAAAAGCUAGAAUGAGAGAGAGGCUGAGUUGCUAGACAAACCAUCUAGUAAAUUGGCAUAUUUCGCCUAUAUCUGCGCCCAUCAAUGAAUUUAAUAAAUAAUGUCAUGCUUUUGAAUUGCUGGAAAUCCACAUUUUUGGAGAAUAUAAUAUAUUUGGUUUCUAU
rnacentral:misc_RNA from 1 species